rnacentral:tRNA from 1 species
AACAAGGAAGCUAUCGCGAUAGGAUUUAAGCCCCUAAAAUGAAUAAUUAAUUCUCUUGUUU